rnacentral:rRNA from 1 species
GAUGAACGCUAGCGGGAGGCUUAACACAUGCAAGUCGUGGGGCAGCAUGGUGUAGCAAUACACUGAUGGCGACCGGCGCACGGGUGAGUAACGCGUAUGCAACCUACCCAGUACAGGGGGAUAGCCCGGAGAAAUUCGGAUUAAUACCCCAUAAUGAUAUAGAGAGGCAUCUUUUUAUAUUUAAAGCUACGGCGGUACUGGAUGGGCAUGCGUAAGAUUAGCUAGUUGGUAGGGUAACGGCCUACCAAGGCUCCGAUCUUUAGGGGUCCUGAGAGGGUGAUCCCCCACACUGGUACUGAGACACGGACCAGACUCCUACGGGAGGCAGCAGUGAGGAAUAUUGGUCAAUGGGCGCAAGCCUGAACCAGCCAUCCCGCGUGAAGGAAGAAGGCGCUAUGCGUUGUAAACUUCUUUUCCGGAGGAAUAAAAUUUUGUACGAGUACAGGGCUGAAGGUACUCCGGGAAUAAGCGUCGGCUAACUCCGUGCCAGCAGCCGCAGUAACAC